UGAGGUGAACGGCGGGGGGAGUGGAGAGGCGACGGACGGGGCGGAAGGGGUGCACUUGGCCAAGAUGCGCAGCGGGGAGUAGGAGCCGUCGCUCUCCGUGCCCCCUCGACGGCGGCCAGUUCUACCCGCCGCCCCGCGGCCCCGCGGCGCGAGAUGGAGCCGUGGUUGCGGGAGACGCUGCAACUCCCGCUGGUGGCCCGGUAGUAGAAGCUGGCGGAGCUGCGACCCCCAGCUCCUGUUCUAUUGGUUAGCGGCGAGUUAGAGCGAGGAGCCUCCGCUCGCCGCGGCAGUGGCGGGGCUAAACAGGCCAAGGCCGGAACUAAAUACCAGCGGGAACCGCAACGAGACACGUCCAGAUCCAUAGGGCUCCCCUGAGCGAGUAGUAGGGCACCUAAGCUCUCCGGCCAGUAGGUCCUGCAGGCGCGUGCUGGGUUAAAGCACCUCUCGUGGAGGCCUUCUUCCCCAGAGGUCUACCAUCCUACCCGAGACGAUGUACAUUUACCAAGACCGUAAAGGGUAGUCAGAGGAGGGACGGCAGUAGCAGGAAGGACGACGGUCGAGGCGGGAAGAGGCGGAACAGAGGUGCCGUUGCUAAGACGAGGUAGGUAGCUCCACCUCCGACCGGACAUCGAGCACACGUACCUCCUCUUCGUGUGAAGUGACUCUUCAACAACGGUGAUAGGAGCCACGGUGGCGGUCACUGCUUUGAACCACCACUCGGAGUAGAGCGGGGGAGAGUCAAGAAGACAAAACGAGACCUACUAGAGACAAGUACAACAAUCACAAAUUUCAUAGAGAACAACAAGAUCCGAAGAUCGACUAUUAGAACAACCAGCGAUAGUCACACCACGUGUAUGUGGAUCCGAAAUUCAACAACACUAAAAAGAUAUUCUACAACUCUCGUACCUUGACUUUAACUGUAGUCUUUAUCUGAACAAUUCACAAACACAACGGUGGUUAGUUUUCGACCAUACAUUAGAUGUUUGGUUGUAUCAGCUGGUCACACUAAACUAUUUAUACAUGUGAACAUGUCUUUCCUCAUACUUGUACGUCAAUUUGAAUGCUAGUAGUUAAAAGGUGAAAAAUUAUUGAACACAAGACUUCGUAAAACAAAAGAGGUUAAUGUACUAAAUUAUUUUAUUGUAUACCGGUCAAGUAAUGUUCACAACAAAUAACAUCGCAUAAAGCCAGUAUAGAAGAUUGUAUGAAGUCCCAACGUAAUCACCUUUUGUACGACCUUUCUCUCACAAGUAGGGAUACUAGGGAAACCGCGGGAACCUCCUGUAAAGCGAAGGAAAGUUCAACUACUUCUCCUUUGUCAAGGGACAAACAGUCUCAAUACGUUUCUGGUAAUUGUAUCGGGUCCCCGUUUGGUAGGGUUGACAGCCAUAAAUGGAAGGCCUCGUACAUGAGAGCGUACGGGUCCAAAUAGAACGUGACAGUUCUCCACACAGUAACGUCUGUUGAGCCUAAGACCAUUUCGGUUUAUUUUAUAUCUAAGGUGACCAUUUUCGUGGUUCUUGUAACACAUGCCUCUAUAGAACAUCCCUAUUGUAUCAAAACAAUAGAUUUGAAACCUAAAAACUAUACCGAGGAUAUACAUGUUAUAAAAAACCUGAUUGUAAUAUAUACAAAUAUUAACGUCGAAAAACAGACCAGCGUGGAUAUCCGUCAUAUCUCCUAGAUGAGAGUCAUUCGAGAUGUCGGCUAGUAAAAAAGGCGAAGGUGAUGAAGAAAAUGGAAUGAAAUGUGCCACAUUAGACAAAGUUACGAUACUACGUGAUAUGCAUACAAGACGUAGUAAAAGGAACAACAUAGAUGACUCUGGAUAACAACCUCGUAAGUAAAAUAACCCUAAGAUAUAGAUUCUACUUUUGCAUUAUUCCACUCCAAAUCUUAAAUUAAUUCGACUAGUUUCACACGAAUGACCAGUCUUACACGAAUAAUGACCAAAGGAUACGAUAAAAAUGCUGAUAUUUUCAUUAAUACAGGAUACUCAGAACCUUCCACACUUAAGCUUUAGUUGAUAUAAAGAACGAUAAGACCAAAUCUACGAAAACUCCGGAGACUAAGAUGUGAUAAGUCGGAGGAACUACUUAUUGUCAGCUGAGUCUAUUACAAACUCAUACAAAGAGGAUUUCGAUUGACUGGUUGUAGACUUGCUGAAGCUGACGACGUAUGUUCAGGUCGAUUCGUGCCACGUUCAUAUUGAGACAGUCGCCUUUACUCUACAUAUAUUCUGCAGGAAUAAGUGAAGUAAAAGAUAUAUAAGUGCCUCCCCCACAGAGCCAAACCAAACGACGUCCGAAAGUAGCUAAAUGAUACAACUAAGUACACAAGGAAAAUCAGUUUCCUAUUCUAAACGCUGGUCGAAGUACAAGAGUCUAUUAUGACCACGUAUUACGUAAGUCCAACGUAAAUAGUCUGACGUGGAACAAUAGUCUAACGGACAUGUUUCUGACUUAAAACAACCGACCAUGAACGCCACUCUUCGUCGUACGUGUACAACACGUAAUCAAACCACCUAAAGGUAUCGAAUCGUAUACAUACUCUUUAUAUAAUAUAUGUAAAACAUAACCACCACUGAGAAAAGAAACUUUCCAGUUUAGUAAAAUAAUAAUAACUAACUAGUCGUCGUUCC
rnacentral:rRNA from 1 species